rnacentral:rRNA from 1 species
AAUCAACGCUGGCGGCGUGCCUCAGACAUGCAAGUCGAACGAUUAAAGCUCUCUUCGGAGAGUGUAUAGAGUGGCGCACGGGUGAGUAACACGUAAGUAAUCUACCCUCGAGUGGGGAAUAACGUCCGGAAACGGACGCUAAUACCGCAUAAUGCAGCGGCACCGCAAGGUGACAGUUGUUAAAGGAGUAAUUCGCUUGAGGAGGAGCUUGCGGCAGAUUAGCUGUUGGUAAGGUAACGGCUUACCAAGGCUACGAUCUGUAUCCGGUCUUAGAGGACGGUCGGACACACUGACACUGAAUAACGGGUCAGACUCCUACGGGAGGCAGCAGUCGGGAAUUUUGGCAAUGGGCGAAAGCCUGACCCAGCAACGCCGCGUGAAGGAUGAAGUAUUUCGGUAUGUAAACUUCGAAAGAAUAGGAAGAAUUAAUGACGGUACUAUUUAUAAGGUCCGGCUAACUACGUGCCAGCCGCCGCCGUAAU